rnacentral:lncRNA from 1 species
CCGAACUGGUUGUGAGUUAUUAAGAGUUGGCACCGUAAAUGCAAACUUUUCUCUAUCACUUUCUUGUAAUGGUAUAGUGAAAAAGCAGUCUUUAAGGUCAAUUACUAUGAUCGGCCAUCCUUUAGGUAUUAAGGAAGGCAAUGGCAUUCCAGGCUGUAGAGCGCCCAUAGGCUGAAUUACCUUAUUUAUGGCUCUCAGGUCUGUCAGCAUUCUCCAGUUACCUGACUUCUUCUUGAUGACAAAUACAGGAGAAUUCCAAGGGCUGGUAGAUUGUUCUAUGUGACCAGCCUCUAGCUGUUCCUGUACUAACUUUUCUAGAGCCUCUAGCUUUUUAGAGGUCAAAGGCCAUUGCCCUAUCCAGACCGGUUCGUCUGUAAGCCAUUUUAAUGGCAGGGCCUUUGGUUCCUCUAAAGGCCUGUCAUUUGUAUUUAAUGUCUGUACAGCCCGGAUAGUUGGUAACCAUUUUCCAUGGCAUCUUACCCGAUCUUUUCUACUAUCCCGCGGUUGUCUAGAAUUCGUACCCGACACUGGAGGGAUGUUAAUUUGAGUAUUUCACUGUUGUAAUAAAUCACGACCCCAUAAAUUUAUAGCAAUAUCUGCUACGUAAGGUUUUAAUAUUCCUUUUUGUCCUUCCGGUCCAAUACAAACCAUCGAGUUAACAUUCCGCCGGACCCUAGAUAGAGUUCCAAUUCCUAAAAAUUGUAUAUUGGCCUCUUUAAGUGGCCAAUUCUUAGGCCAACAUUUCUGAGUGAUAAUAGUCACAUCAGCUCCAGUGUCCACCAGACCAGACAUAACUUUAUUUUGAAUUUUAAUUUGUAACUGAGGCCUUUUAUCAUUAAUAGAAGCUUGCCAAAAUACGCGUUUGUCAUUUUCAUUAGUCACAUGUGAUUCUUCAUCACUAUUUAAACUACCCUCUAGAGCAAUAUCAUUUUCCACCAUAGGCAAGGAAUUAUCUAUUUGUCUUGUGACAGAUUGUCUUCCACUGUUACUGGGAAUGAUCGAACUGUUCUCGGGGCCUGCUCGAGGCCCCUUUCCGAGUUUCCCGGCGCCAAUAAUUUUCCCUGAAAAUCCC